GACGAACGCUGGCGGCGUGCUUAACACAUGCAAGUCGAACGGUAAGGCCCCUCGGGGUACACGAGUGGCGAACGGGUGAGUAACACGUGGGUGAUCUGCCCUGCACUUCGGGAUAAGCCUGGGAAACUGGGUCUAAUACCGGAUAGGACUCCUGGCUUCAUGGUUGGGGGUGGAAAGCUUUUGCGGUGUGGGAUGGGCCCGCGGCCUAUCAGCUUGUUGGUGGGGUAAUGGCCUACCAAGGCGACGACGGGUAGCCGGCCUGGGAGGGUGACCGGUCACACUGGGACGGAGAUACGGCCCAGACUCCUACGGGAGGCAGCAGUGGGGAAUAUUGCACAAUGGGCGCAAGCCUGAUGCAGCGACGCCGCGUGAGGGAUGACGGCCUUCGGGUUGUAAACCUCUUUCAGCUAUGACGAAGCGCAAGUGACGGUAGUAGCAGAAGAAGGACCGGCCAACUACGUGCCAGCCGCCGCCGUAA
rnacentral:rRNA from 1 species